rnacentral:rRNA from 1 species
UACGUAGGGUGCAAGCGUUAAUCGGAAUCACUGGGCGUAAAGGGAGCGUAGGCGGGUUCUUAAGUAAGGUGUUUAAUCCCGGGGCCCAACCCCGGACCGGCACUUUAAACUGGGAAUCUUGAAUAGUGGAGAGGUCGGUGGAAUUGGGGGUGUAGCGGUGGAAUGCGUAGAGAUCCCCAAGAACACCAGUUGCGAAGGCGGCCGACUGGACACAUAUUGACGCUGAGGCUCGAAAGCAUGGGGAGCAAACAGG